rfam:Paxillus rubicundulus Ve08.2h10 scaffold_42_c1, whole genome shotgun sequence.
GCCGGGAUAGCUCAGCUGGGAGAGCAACAGACUGAAGUUCCCACGGAUUCUGGAGGUCCCGUGUUCAAUCCACGGUCCUGGCA